CUAGUCCUGCCUCCAGCCUGGACAGCCUAGCCUGGCAAAGAUGAGUUCUGGCAGCCAUAGGGCACAGGCAAGGUGGGACAGAACUCCUGGGUCUGUUUGGCCUCUGAGAGAGAACGUGGGGCCAGUUCUCUGAGGGAUAGACCACAGCUCCCCACAAAACUCCACUAUAGCUAAACCAGGUGCUGUCACAACUUUUUUUAAAUUGAGGUAAAAUUCAUAUGACAUUAAAAUAACCAUUUUAAAGUGUA